GGCAUGAGGAGGAUCUGCUCUUCUUGACAGCCGUCUCCUCCUCAGCUCCUCAAGGCAGCCCAAGACAACUGGAAUUUGGGUGUUGACUUUUGGCAAAUAUUUUAAGAGCAAUGAACACUUAAGAGCUUUGUGCAGUUCCCCGCAGAGGUGUCAAGGUUUCCUAAGGAUUUAGCCUAUUGUGAGUGUGUGCCGCCUAAGAAAACUCUGCUUUUGAGAGUGAUGUCCCAGAAAAGCCAGGUAAUACCAGGGAGGUGAGCCUCCUGUCUGCAGGAGCCUAGCAAGUCUUAUAUCCUGUCUUCACACGGGAUCUGAGUUCAGUAGCACCUCCUGCUCUCUGGGGUCUCCAGCAGGGCCAACUUGUGCCCCUGGAUUCCAGGCCCAAACCCUAGAAAAGGAGAGAAAAGUGGAUGAAGAAGAAAUGGUGUUGAAAGCAGAGGGAGUGGGAGAUGAAAGAGCCAAGUAAAGAACAGGAGAGACAGACGAACAGAGGUGCUCUUGGGAGAACAGGAAAGAGAACUAUGUGUUCAUCUCCUACAAGAAGCAAUGAUUCAUCCUCCUGGGCUAGGGUUCUAAUCCUUUUUCCCUGGACUCACCUUAAUCCAGUUAGUCCCAGGGCCCAGAAUCCCACCUUUAGGGAUGAGCUGCUUCAUCACUUGACAGCCUUCUAGCCAGCCUCACUGUUCAGCCCGGAGCUACUUUCAUGUGGCUGCUCAUCUGCAGGUAUCUGCUCCUCGAACUGAAGAGACGGCACAAGGAAGCAUGAUAAAAUGAGGCCUAAGAUAAUAUUUGGGGGGAAAGUUUAUUUUUUUAUGGUCU